rnacentral:lncRNA from 1 species
UGGGUUCUGGCCGCUGGUGUUGUCUAAGAGCUUUGGGGAAUAUCACAGAAGUGAAGUGCAAUUCUCAUCAUGUCAUAUCAAGAGCACACACUAACAAACAACAUGACUUAUUGCUGAAUAUUGAACUUGAUCACCUGGCUGAGGUGAAUAAACUGACACUGGAACAUUCAGGAACUUCUUCAUGGUCAUGGUCACCCAGCUAGAGUGUGGAAGCCAGGCUGUCUGAUUCCAGGAUCUGUGUUCUUAAUCCUAUACAUAAGGAAGCCAUAAUGAGUCAACCACUAUUUUUAAGAUUCACAGAUGUUCGGGUCCAAUUCACCAGAAUGCCAAGUUAUACAGGGUUGUGGAAUCAAAAACUGCAAUUA